rnacentral:rRNA from 1 species
AUUGAACGCUGGCGGCAGGCCUAACACAUGCAAGUCGAGCGCGAAAGGCUUUCGGGCUGAGUAGAGCGGCGGACGGGUGAGUAACGCGUAGGAAUCUACCUGGUAGUGGGGGACAACUUGGGGAAACUCAAGCUAAUACCGCAUACGCCCUAUGGGGGAAAGUGGGGGACCUUCGGGCCUCACGCUAUCAGAUGAGCCUGCGUAGGAUUAGCUAGUUGGUGAGGUAAAGGCUCACCAAGGCGACGAUCCUUAGCUGGUCUGAGAGGAUGAUCAGCCACACUGGGACUGAGACACGGCCCAGACUCCUACGGGAGGCAGCAGUGGGGAAUAUUGCGCAAUGGGGGCAACCCUGACGCAGCCAUGCCGCGUGUGUGAAGAAGGCC